rnacentral:rRNA from 1 species
AUGCUUCGUGCCUACCUACUACAACCGCGACCUCUUCAAGAAACUUCAACAACCAAGCAAGGAACCAAGAGCGUUGAAGAAUACUACAAGGAGAUGGAGAUUGCAAUGAUAAGAGCCAAUGUGACGGAAGAUGAUGAGCAAACUAUGGCACAUUUCUUGAAUGGACUCAAUCAUCCGAUCAAGAAGAUCGCCGACUUCCAACCAUACUCAAAUCUCAUCGAGCUCGUGCACCAAGCUACCAAAGCGGAACGCCAAGUGCAAGAUGACUUCAAGUAUGCCAAGUUCUCAUCCAAGUCCUACGGUUUCUCCAAUAACCAAGCUUCAACGACUCCAACACCGACUACAAGACCGUCUACUUCCAACAUCGACAAGUCGACUUCCAAGAAAGCUUUGCCUACUACAAGCAACUUCAAGCCUAGAGCUUCAUCAUCAUCAACCCCUACCGAUGAGACCGUCAAGACGAGUUCCCUCAAGUGUUUCACUUGCGGAGGCCGAGGCCACAAGUCCUAUGAGUGCACCAACAAGCGCACCAUGAUCUUCAACGACGAUGGCACUUAUGAUUCCAUGAGCGAAGGAGAAAUGGAAGCCCUUGAGCAAGUCGCCAUGCACCGCCAAGUGAACAACGAAGAAGAACAAGUCUUUUCUGAUGAAGACUCAAGUCCCGCACUUGUUGUCUCCAAAGUCUUGACUCUCCAACAUCACCAAGAAGAAGACCAAAGAUGCACCAUAUUCCACACCAAGGCCGGCAUCAAUGGACGAUCUGUCAAGGUCAUUAUCGAUGGAGGGAGUUGUCACAAUAUCGCAAGUGAAGAACUUUGCUCCAAGCUCCAAUUUCCCAAGACGAAGCAUCCACAUCCAUACAAAGUGCAAUGGCUUAGUGGCUCCGGCACUAUCCAAGUCGAGCACUGA